GGAGGGGGCAAGCGUUGUUCAGAAUUACUGGGCGUAAAGGGCGCGUAGGCGGCCUGCCAAGUCAGGGGUGAAAGGCCCGGGCUCAACCCGGGAAUUGCCCUUGAAACUGGCAAGCUAGAGUCCGAGAGAGGAUGGCGGAAUUCCCAGUGUAGAGGUGAAAUUCGUAGAUAUUGGGAAGAACACCGGUGGCGAAGGCGGCCAUCUGGCUCGGUACUGACGCUGAGGCGCGAAAGCGUGGGGAGCAAACAGGAUUAGAUACCCUGGUAGUCCACGCCGUAAACGAUGUGUGCUAGACGUUGGAGGUCUUAGGCCUUCGGUGUCGCAGCUAACGCGUUAAGCACACCGCCUGGGGGAGUACGGCCGCAAGGUUA
rnacentral:rRNA from 1 species